rnacentral:rRNA from 1 species
UACAGAGGUCCCAAGCGUUGUUCGGAUUUACUGGGCGUAAAGGGAGCGUAGGUGGCUUUCUAAGUCUGAUGUGAAAGCUCUGAGCUUAACUCAGAAAUGGCAUUAGAAACUAGUUUGCUAGAGGAUUGGAGGGGAGAUUGGAAUACUUGGUGUAGCAGUGAAAUGCGUAGAUAUCAAGUGGAACACCAGUGGCGAAGGCGAAUCUCUGGACAAUUCCUGACACUGAUGCUCGAAAGCUAGGGGAGCAAACGGG